GUGAUCCCCACUCACAAGAUGGCCAGGACUGAAACAGGAAGGGGAAUGGUGCUGCAGUGUAGAGUGAGGAGUAUCAACAGAACUCUAAGGGUCCAGGACUGGAAAAGCUGAGGAUGAUUUUGAUCAGGAACGAGGGGCACUGUGCAGAGACUAAGACAGGCUAAGGAAACCCUGAGUUACAGUGUAAGCAGCAGGUCACUGGAAGGGAGGUUGCCGCUAGCUCCAGACAUGCUCUUUGUUGGACUGAGAAGAUACCCUGCACCAAACCCAUCUCCCUUGGGACCACAGCUGUGUCUUCUGCAAGCAGGCAGGCAGGAGAUACAUCAUCCAUUGACCAUCCCAGCAACACACCAGAUUCAGUACCCCACUGUCGGUCUCUGGACAAGGCACUUGGUGGUGAUGAGGGAUUCUGAGAGGCCUAUUUCUUCUCUGGCUAAUGUCAUUUCUUCUAA